rnacentral:tRNA from 1 species
GGGAAGUUAGCUCAGCUGGAAGAGCGCCACGUUGACAUCGUGGAGGUCGCUGGUUCGAGCCCAGUACUGCCCA